CAAACUUCCUCCAUUUAACCCUCCUGUUGUCCUCGGGUCAACAGGAGGAGCCUCUGAUGAGUAAAUCAAAUCCAGCUGAGAGUCAUCUGAACGCUUCAAUGGAAGAGAUACAACUGAAGGAAAUCUGACCUUUUGUACAAAGGAGUUAGAAGAACCUGUGGUGGUCGUUUUGGGCUACUGUAUAUACAUGGAGGUGCAAUAUGGCAGACUCUGUGGAAGAGGACCCGCUCCCUAUGUAGAUAUAAAGGGCUCAUUCUAAGAGCAAAGUUCUUACCUCUGUUCCUGUCUCUGUACAUGAGUCCCAAUAAGAUGGUGGACAGCAAGUAAGGUAUUCCCACCCCCAGGUGACACACAAGUCUGGAGACAGAAACUGAACACGAAGCUGCAUCCGGAGCUGGAGAUGAAGGUGGAAGAGAAGCUGUGAAGAGAAAUAAAUUUAACGAUGCGAUAAAGAACUGUCCCACCAGCCAGCUGCCUAUUGAUUCUACACCUGAAGAGGAGCUGCACAUGUAGAGACCUUCAUCAGUUUUGGAAACAUGCUGGAUAGUCAUCUCU